UAGGGAAUCUUCCGCAAUGGGCGAAAGCCUGACGGAGCAACGCCGCGUGAGUGAUGAAGGUCUUCGGAUCGUAAAACUCUGUUAUUAGGGAAGAACAAAUGUGUAAGUAACUAUGCACGUCUUGACGGUACCUAAUCAGAAAGCCACGGCUAACUACGUGCCAGCAGCCGCGGUAAUACGUAGGUGGCAAGCGUUAUCCGGAAUUAUUGGGCGUAAAGCGCGCGUAGGCGGUUUUUUAAGUCUGAUGUGAAAGCCCACGGCUCAACCGUGGAGGGUCAUUGGAAACUGGAAAACUUGAGUGCAGAAGAGGAAAGUGGAAUUCCAUGUGUAGCAGUGAAAUGCGCAGAGAUAUGGAGGAACACCAGUGGCGAAGGCGACGUUCUGGUCUGUAACUGACGCUGAUGUGCGAAAGCGUGGGGAUCAAACAGG
rnacentral:rRNA from 1 species